rnacentral:lncRNA from 1 species
CACGUUAUAGGAUUUAUUUCUUAUUAUUCAACCAGUAAGUCUUCUGACCCCAGCUUGUAGAACCCCCAAAGGGUCUGAUACUAAGACUAUCCCAGGACUCCCUGCCACCUCAGUGGGGCUAGUCCUGGAGCAGCCACUGUCCCAGGUGCUGAAGGAAGUAGCCCCCAUUCCUGCCCCCUCCACCUUCUCUCACUGUUGAGGACUCUCUUCACCUCCACUUCCUAGAACGUCCUGAUGAAAAUGAAGUCCUGGGUCAUGCUUCUCUGAGGGAAAAAUUUUCUUUUUGGUCCUUAGCUUCAGGUCGGUUUCACAGCAGAGCAGCUUGUAACUGUGUAACAGAUCUAACUAUGGAG